rnacentral:tRNA from 1 species
GGGUAGAUGGCGAAAUUGGUAUACGCAUCAUAUUCAAAAUAUGACGGUUUUAAUCAUGAGGGUUCAAUUCCCUCUCUACCUA